rnacentral:rRNA from 1 species
GCCAGACUCCUACGGGAGGCAGCAGUGGGGGAUAUUGCACAAUGGGGGGAACCCUGAUGCAGCGACGCCGCGUGGGUGAAGGAGCGUUUCGGCGCGUAAAGCCCUCUCGGCAGGGAAGAAGGAGGACGGUACCUGACUAAGAAGCCCCGGCUAACUACGUGCCAGCAGCCGCGGUAAUACGUAGGGGGCAAGCGUUAUCCGGAUUUACUGGGUGUAAAGGGGGCGCAGACGGCAGCGCAAGCCAGGAGUGAAAGCCCGGGGCCCAACCCCGGGACUGCUCUUGGAACUGCGCGGCUGGAGUGCAGGAGGGGCAGGCGGAAUUCCUGGUGUAGCGGUGAAAUGCGUAGAUAUCAGGAGGAACACCGGUGGCGAAGGCGGCCUGCUGGACUGUACCCGACGCUGAGGCGCGAAAGCGUGGGGAGCAAACAGGAUUAGAUACCCGUGUA